GUUGCGCUUAGAUUGAGGUGUAACAACAGACGUUUUCACAGAGAGCACAACAAAACAGCAUGACCUGAUUACACACCCACUGAGUGUCUUUGCUGUUCAGUGUGUGCCAUGACUUAUUCUCUCCUGAGCUUCCUUUUUGUAUUCUGUGGAGUCCCAGAAAUAGCAUUUCACAAUUCAGGCUUCUCUGCAGUUUGCAAGGCCGCCCUGUUGACAGCUGCCCGGACAUAUAAAUAGGAUCCCCCCGGCCAGAUCAAACGAGUGAGAGGAGAACAGACAGAAACAGGAUGAUAACAGUUGGUAAGGCGUGGAUCUGUCUCAGUUUAACAUGUGCUCAGGUCGCUUUAUGGCAUCAAGAGGAGGUGUGCCAGAAACGAGGGCAGGCGGUGCUUCAAAAACCUCUCUAACAAAGCCCAACACUUGGUUGUGUUGUGAGCCGGUAUGAUGAAAAAUAUCUCUGCCAAGAAAAAAAUUCCCUCUAAUGAGACCAUUUUAGGAUGAAGAGGCAGAUAAACCAACUAAUCUGCUCACAAACAGACAGAGGAAGAGCCAUCCAUAGCUUCAGAAACUGUGUCUCUCUCUGUUAGUAGGUUUCCCUUCUGGCACUCUGAAAUGUCUUCAACUUUUUUGUGCAUUAUUUCACACUUAAACCUUUUUUUCUUUCAGGGUGAUAACACCGUCUGGCAGAAUGUGCUCCCGCUAUGUUAACUGUGGUUCAAAAAACAGCAGAUUUAAUGGGAGUGAGUGUGAAGAAACUAAUCCACACAUUCAGAGCCACAUACUAUGCUGUGGCAAGUGGGUAAAGCAUGUGAGCAAGUAAGCCUUUUACAAAAGACAGCAAACCUUGAGGUUGCCUACAGCAAACAGCAGUGAAGCUGUUUUUCCUGACUGCUGCUGAAAAGGAAAAUGAAGGUCCUUUAUUCAGGUUAGGCUGAGGGAUUGUUAUUUUCAAAUGAAGUGUCCACACUAUUGGAGCUGAAUAUCAGACGGUUUUGGUCUGAUUAGCUCAGGGCUUUAAUGGCACCCACUGUACAGGAGGUGAUUCUUUUUUUCUCAUGCAUUUAUGUCAGAGAUAUUAAGGUUGCAAGAUCAGCGAAACAGAGGCCAAAAUUUUGGUUGAGUCAGCAUUUCAAAUACAGCAACCGCCACAAAUGGGCUUCAAAACUCUGACCUCCUAACUUACUUUCGUCCAGGAAAACUCUUUGUCGUCUCUGAUGGUAAAAGCUAGUUGUAUCAAGGUUGCUG